AACGGUUAUGAUUUUUGGUGGGUUUUUCCAUACUUCUCUCGAAGUGGACACGUGGAUGAACACGUAUGUUCCAGGAGGUUUUGGCUGACGCUGACCUGGGAGACUCACGUGGGAUAAUGAUCGAUGAGGUGGUGUGAUGUGAUUGGCCCAAGAAGGUUUCACUAACUGGAUAUCGGGGCAGCGUUAAAUAAGUCCAGGGGAUAAGAAAAGUGGCUGUGUUGAGUAAAACGACUGGAAGCACCGCCGUUUCAAUGCUGACGCAAGCGGAGUGUAGGAUAGCUGCCACGUCGAAAAGGCCGAAGCAACUGGCUGUCUGUCUCUGGGCCUCCCUUUACUUAACAAGUAAGCUCUACAGGUAAAGGGCAACACGGUCAUUUUACUGAAAUAUUCCAGCCUUUGCAUCGUUAGACUGGAGACGGAAAACCAAAUUCAUUCGCAGAGAAGAAAGAGAGAGAGAGAGA
rnacentral:misc_RNA from 1 species